rnacentral:rRNA from 1 species
UACGUAGGAAGCGAGCGUUGUCCGGAUUUACUGGGCGUAAAGGAUGCGUAGGCGGACAUUUAAGUCAGAUGUGAAAUACCCGAGCUUAACUUGGGUGCUGCAUUUGAAACUGGGUGUCUAGAGUGCAGGAGAGGUAAGUGGAAUUCCUAGUGUAGCGGUGAAAUGCGUAGAGAUUAGGAAGAACACCAGCGGCGAAGGCGACUUACUGGACUGUAACUGACGCUGAGGCAUGAAAGCGUGGGGAGCAAACAGG